rnacentral:rRNA from 1 species
AGUAGCGGCGAGCGAAGCGGGAAGAGCUCAAAUUUAUAAUCUGGCACCUUCGGUGUCCGAGUUGUAAUCUCUAGAAGUGUUUUCCGCGUUGGACCGCACACAAGUCUGUUGGAAUACAGCGGCAUAGUGGUGAAACCCCCGUAUAUGGUGCGGACGCCCAGCGCUUUGUGAUACACUUUCAAUGAGUCGAGUUGUUUGGGAAUGCAGCUCAAAUUGGGUGGUAAAUUCCAUCUAAAGCUAAAUAUUGGCGAGAGACCGAUAGCGAACAAGUACCGUGAGGGAAAGAUGAAAAGCACUUUGGAAAGAGAGUUAACAGUACGUGAAAUUGUUGGAAGGGAAACGCUUGAAGUCAGACUUGCUUGCCGGAGCUUGCUUCGGUUUGCAGGCCAGCAUCAGUUUUCCGGGGUGGAUAAUGACGGUUUGAAGGUAGCAGUCUCGGCUGUGUUAUAGCUUUCCGUUGGAUACGCCCUGGGGGACUGAGGAACGCAGCGUGCUUUUUGCGAAAGACUCGUCUUUUUCACGCUUAGGAUGCUGGUGGAAUGGCUUUAAACGGUCCGUCUUG